rnacentral:lncRNA from 10 species
UAGAGGCGGGGUUUCACCAUGUUGACCAGGUUGGUCUCAAACUCCUGACCUCAAGCGAUCACCCUCCUCGGCCUCCCAUUCAAGUGCUGGGAUGACAGGUGUGAGCCGCCGUGCCCGGCCCCAGGUAAUUUAUAUAGCUAUUCCAUCGUCAAGGAGGUGGAGCGGACUUCCCACAUCCUAAGUGUGGGCUGUGCAUAGUGACUCUCUUCCAAAGAGUACAGUGUGAAAAGAGAGGAGAGAGUAACUUUACAGUGGAGAACACGGACAGACACU